GCUGGGCGCAGUGGCUUACGCCUGUAAUCCUAGCACUUUGGGAGGCUGAGGCGGGUGGAUCGCUUGAGGUCAGGAGAUCGAGACCAGCCUGGCCAACAUGGUGAAACCCCGUCUCUACUAAAAGUACAAAAAUUAGCUGGGCAUGGUGGUGGGUGCCUGUAAUCCUAGCUACUUGGGAGACUGAGGCAGAAGAAUCCUCAGCCUCCUGAGUAGCUGGGACUACAGGCACGCGCCACCACGCCCAGCUAAUUUUUGUAUUUUUAGUAGAGAUGGGGUUUCACCAUGUUGGCUAGGCUGGUCUCGAUCUCCUGACCUCAUGAUCCGCACGCCUCG
rnacentral:sRNA from 1 species